rnacentral:rRNA from 1 species
UAGAGUUUGAUCCUGGCUCAGGAUGAACGCUAGCUACAGGCUUAACACAUGCAAGUCGAGGGGCAUCAUGACUGAGGUUUACCUUAGUUGAUGGCGACCGGCGAAUGGGUGAGUAACACGUAUCCAACCUGCCCGUUACUGGAGGAUAGCCCUCCGAAAGGAGAAUUAAUACUCCAUGUUGUGCUGAAUUCGCAUGUUUUCGGCACUAAAGAUUCAUCGGUAACGGAUGGGGAUGCGUCCGAUUAGGUAGUAGGCGGGGUAACGGCCCACCUAGCCCUCGAUCGGUAGGGGUUCUGAGAGGAAGGUCCCCCACAUUGGAACUGAGACACGGUCCAAACUCCUACGGGAGGCAGCAGUGAGGAAUAUUGGUCAAUGGGCGCAAGCCUGAACCAGCCAAGUAGCGUGAAGGAUGACUGCCCUAUGGGUUGUAAACUUCUUUUAUGCGGGAAUAACCUCGACCAUGUAUGGUCGUUUGCAUGUACCGCAAGAAAAAGCAUCGGCUAAUUCCGUGCCAGCAGCCGCGGUAAUACGGAAGAUGCGAGCGUUAUCCGGAUUUAUUGGGUUUAAAGGGAGCGUAGGCGGACUAUCAAGUCAGUUGUGAAAGUCAUCGGCUCAACCGCUGAAUUGCAGUUGAAACUGGUAGUCUUGAGUGCACAUGAGGAUGGUGGAAUUCGUAGUGUAGCGGUGAAAUGCUUAGAUAUUACGAAGAACUCCGAUUGCGAAGGCAGCUAUCUGGGGUGCAACUGACGCUGAGGCUCGAAGGUGUGGGUAUCAAACAGGAUUAGAUACCCUGGUAGUCCACACUGUAAACGAUGGAUACUCGCGGUCGGCGAUAUACAGUCGGUCACCAAGCGAAAGCGAUAAGUAUCCCACCUGGGGAGUACGCCGGCAACGGUGAAACUCAAAGGAAUUGACGGGGGCCCGCACAAGCGGAGGAACAUGUGGUUUAAUUCGAUGAUACGCGAGGAACCUUACCCGGGCUUGAACUGCAGAGGAAAGAUCCAGAGAUGGUGAUGCCCUUCGGGGUCUCUGUGGAGGUGCUGCAUGGUUGUCGUCAGCUCGUGCCGUGAGGUGUCGGCUUAAGUGCCAUAACGAGCGCAACCCCUGUCCUCGGUUGCCAUCAGGUAAUGCUGGGCACUCCGUGGAUACUGCCAUCGCAAGAUGUGAGGAAGGUGGGGAUGACGUCAAAUCAGCACGGCCCUUACGUCCGGGGCUACACACAUGUUACAAUGGGGGGUACAGAGGGCUGCUGUCCGGUGACGGUCGGCCAAUCCCUAAAACCCCUCUCAGUUCGGACUGGAGUCUGCAACCCGACUCCACGAAGCUGGAUUCGCUAGUAAUCGCGCAUCAGCCAUGGCGCGGUGAAUACGUUCCCGGGUCUUGCACACACCGCCCGUCA